AUGAUCGCUCCCUCAGAUUUGACAUCUCUCCAGCUUUCCAGGGAUGCCAUGCCCUUGAUUACCCCACCUGCCCAAGCAGCAUUGAUCUGCUACGAUGGGUCCAGGGAGAAUCUCUCUGAGGAGAUGUGCUGCAGGAGCACGUGGAGCUCAGAGGUCUGGUGCCUCCUCUGGGAGAUUCUCCAGACCUCCUUGGCAAGCAUCCUUGUAACUCAAGCAUCAUCUCAAGGCCUCCUUGUUGCAGUAUUACCCUGUAUUUCUUGUUUCUCAGGAUUCUGUUUGUCCAGUUUUAUAAAAAUGCCUUUGGGAAGCACCACUCAAAAGCCACCAUGGCUUUCCCCAAGAUGGAUCCAUAGCUCCGGUAAUUCUGGCAAUGGUCAUGAGCAGGCGCUUUGCAUGGAGCAAGUGUUACACACAUGCCUAAUUCUCUAAAACAAUUACAGACAGCACCAGUAACAUCCCUGCUGUUCUACCUAGAAGGAGAGAAAAUGUUUUAAUCAGGUCGUUAACAUUAAAUAUGUGCCAAGUAUUGCUACAGCCAAACUUCCAAAUGUAUGGGAUGCUGACAUGAAUCUCCACAAAAGGUUAUUGGGACAUUAAGGUUCCAUGUAAAGAUUCAAGGAGAGAGUGCAUCUGAAAUGCAAAAUCUACUUUCAAAAUCUGUAUAGAUAUUUAGAGGCUUCCCCAAAUAUCACAUCUCCUUAGGUCUAGCUGAAGUCAAUCACAGAGGUUCACAGUAUUCAGCUGAGCUUCCUGGACAUCGGUGGGAUUUUUCAGACCUCUUCACUUCUCAGAAAAAG
rnacentral:lncRNA from 1 species